GAUGAACGCUGGCGGCGUGCUUAAUACAUGCAAGUCGAGCGAACGGACGAGAAGCUUGCUCCUUUGAUGUUAGCGGCGGACGGGUGAGUAACACGUGGAUAACCUACCUAUAAGACUGGGAUAACUUCGGGAAACCGGAGCUAAUACCGGAUAAUAUUUUGAAGCGCAUUGUUCAAAAGUGAAAGACGGUCGUGCUGUCUCUUAUAGAUGGAUCCGCGCUGCAUUAGCUAGUUGUUACGGUAACGGCUUACCAAGGCAAUGAUGCAUAGACGAACUGAGAGGGUGAUCGGCCACACUAGAAGGGAACCACGGUCCAGGCUCCUGCGAUAGGCAGCAGAAGAGUAUCGGACGCAGUGGGCGGGAGCCUGGCGGAACAACGCCACGUCGGUGAUAACAGUCUUCGGAUCGUGAAGCUCUGUUAUUGGGAGAGAACAUAUGUGUAAGUAGCUGUACACAUCUUGACGGUACCUAAUCAAAAAGCAACGGCUAACUACGUG
rnacentral:rRNA from 1 species